GCAUUGGUAGUUCAGUGGUAGAAUUCUUGCCUGCCAUGCAGGUGGCCUGGGUUCAAUUCCUAGCCAAUGCA